rnacentral:rRNA from 1 species
CUAAGGUGAUCGAGAGAACUCUCGUUAAGGAACUCGGCAAAAUGACCCCGUAACUUCGGGAGAAGGGGUGCUCUGUUAGGGUGCAAGCCCGAGAGAGCCGCAGUGAAUAGGCCCAGGCGACUGUUUAGCAAAAACACAGGUCUCUGCGAAGCCGUAAGACGAAGUAUAGGGGCUGACGCCUGCCCGGUGCUGGAAGGUUAAGAGGAGCGCUUAGCGUAAGCGAAGGUGCGAAUUGAAGCCCCAGUAAACGGCGGCCGUAACAAUAACGGUCCUAAGGUAGCGAAAUUCCUUGUCGGGUAAGUUCCGACCCGCACGAAAGGCGCAACGAUCUGGGCACUGUCUCAACGAGAGACUCGGUGAAAUUAUAGUACCUGUGAAGAUGCAGGUUACCCGCGACAGGACGGAAAGACCCCGUGGAGCUUUACUGCAGCCUGAUAUUGAAUGUUGGUACAGCUUGUACAGGAUAGGUAGGAGCCUUGGAAACCGGAGCGCCAGCUUCGGUGGAGGCAUCGGUGGGAUACUACCCUGGCUGUAUUGACCUUCUAACCCGCCGCCCUUAUCGGGCGGGGAGACAGUGUCAGGUGGGCAGUUUGACUGGGGCGGUCGCCUCCUAAAAGGUAACGGAGGCGCCCAAAGGUUCCCUCAGAAUGGUUGGAAAUCAUUCGCAGAGUGUAAAGGCACAAGGGAGCUUGGCUGCGAGACCUACAAGUCGAGCAGGGACGAAAGUCGGGCUUAGUGAUCCGGGGGUUCCGCAUGGAAGGGCCAUCGCUCAACGGAUAAAAGCUACCCCGGGGAUAACAGGCUUAUCUCCCCCAAGAGUCCACAUCGACGGGGGGGUUUGGCACCUCGAUGUCGGCUCAUCGCAUCCUGGGGCUGUAGUCGGUCCCAAGGGUUGGGCUGUUCGCCCAUUAAAGCGGUACGCGGGCUGGGUUCAGAACGUCGUGAGACAGUUCGGUCCCUAUCCGUCGCGGGCGCAGGAAAUUUGAGAGGAGCUGUCCUUAGUACGAGAGGACCGGGAUGGACGCACCGCUGGUGUACCAGUUGUUCUGCCAAGGGCAUCGCUGGGUAGCUAUGUGCGGACGGGAUAAGUGCUGAAAGCAUCUAAGCAUGAAGCCCCCCUCAAGAUGAGAUUUCCCAUUCCGCAAGGAAGUAAGAUCCCUGAAAGAUGAUCAGGUUGAUAGGUCUGAGGUGGAAGUGUGGCGACACAUGGAGCUGACAGAUACUAAUCGAUCGAGGACUUAACC